UAGCCUAGUGAUUAAGGCUAUGGAUUGCCAAUCCGGAGACAGCGGGUUCGAUUCCCGU
rnacentral:tRNA from 1 species